rnacentral:lncRNA from 1 species
GGAUGCUUUGCAAAUUGAUUGUGGUUCUUUUUAUAGUUCUGAAAGUGUCUAUUAAAAUGAAUAUUUCACAAGUGCUACUUUAAAUGAUCUCCUAGAUUUUUGAUUUUACUAUGCCAGUAUAAUCGCAGGGUUUUUUGUUUGUUUGUUUUUACAUUUUUAGGCUCAUGUGUCUUGCCUGGAGCCAUCUAAAAUACCUCUCUCUCUCAGAAAGCAGGAGAAACGCUCUGAAGAGGAUAAAAUGGAAGGUGUUCCGCUAUUUACACAGGGUCUUAUUGCUAAGGAACGACCAGGACGGAAAGAAGAGGAAGAUUGAAUAACGGAGCCUCAUCACUGGUGACCUAGCUUCAGUCGCAGAGUUGCUCAAAGCCUCAGUUCAAGCAGGGUGAACUCAUUACAAGUACCCAGAGAUUCUUCCCCAAAAUCUUCAGCGUGAACC